rnacentral:misc_RNA from 1 species
UGGCACAACUGCUUGCCCUGCGUGCC